CGGCCAGGAAAUACCCUCAGCAUUCCUUGGUUGUUGUGUCGUUCCAAGAUCGUUGGCUGCUCAUUGCUUCGGACAUGUUCCUGCUGUGGCAAACUCGGUUCAGACUGAAUGUUUAACAACAGUUGGCUUCGACCCUACUGUCCGGAACUGAGGGCACCGUCGUCAGAUUCAUUGGUCAGGUUUCUGGUAAGGAGUGGAUUUUUUGGACAGUUCAGCAUCCAGCAGAACACCCAUCGGAGGAUUCGUCCAUCAGGAGACCAAGAUUCCAGUUAACUGCAUGGCGAGCCAACCCGUGGAAAGAUUGAGAGACCAAGAGAAGGAGGAUAGCUUCUGCAGAAGAAUUACUGCGCUCAUGGUGCGGUAGGACAGAAAAGACACACUCAUACACUUGGACUGGGCCCCAGCGACCGAUCCUCUGACUAACACCAAAAAGACUGGACUCAGACAUUUCUAUUUUUUUUGUCAUUUGUGCGCACUUUAUUAUUUUUUAUUGUAUUGUAAUGUUGUUGUUGUGCAGCUAAUCUGCACUAAUUAUACUUAUUACACAUAUUUUGGCAAAUCCAUUCUGUUUGUGUCUCCUUACUGACGCUCAGACCUCAGGCUCCAAGCGCCCUAGUCUCUGAUGCUGGUCCAAAUCUAAUAUAUUUACGGUUUUGAUGUAACAAAGUUGUCACACAAACAACAAAAACAAGACAAAAUAUUAGACAAUUGACAAAAAAUGACAAAAGUGAGAAUCAAAACGACAAAGUAGACAACACAGGCGAAACAAAAACAAUGAUACACAAAACAACGAAUAAAGCAAAACACAAAAUGACAAAAAUGAGACAAAAAUCACAAGUGAGACAAAAAUGAGACACAAAACGACAACAACGAGGCACAAAACAAAAACGAGACACGAAAUGACAAAAAAAUUUGACAAACGACACAAAACAAAACAAAAAAGGGACAAAGAACUAAACAAAAAAGCUACAGAGCAACAAAAUAAAUGGACAAACGACACAGAAAACACAACUGAGACAAAAGGGAAACACAAAACGCCAAAAAACGAGAAACAAAAUGACAAAAACUUUAGGCAAAUGAUGAAAGUCAAACAAAAAAGACAAAAGACACCAAAAAUGAGACCGCAUGUUUGACACCCCUGGUCUAGCAGACACAUUUAAUCCUAAAUUCAGUCUCAAAAAAUUACACACAAAACAACGAAUAAAGCAAAACACAAAAUAAUAAAAAACAAGUCAAGGAACACAGGCGAGACAAAAAGGAAACACAAAGUGACAAAAACGAGAAACAAAAUGACAAAAGUCAGACAAAAAAGACAAAAAACAACAAAAAUGAGGCAAAAUAUCACAAAAAAAGAAAUACAAAAUGACUAAAGAACAAUGAACAAUCUAGUAUUUUACUUUAUAGUCCAAACAACUUGUCAUGGUCUAGAAAUUAUUUUAAGUUUAUAGUUUUACUAAUUUACAAUCUGCAGUUAAUGUCUUCUCUGGAAUUUUUACACUUUGAGGACCGGAUCGGACCCUCUGGGGGACCACUUUUGGCCCGCAGGUCAUAUGUUGGACACCCCUGUUGUAGCGUGUAGCAUGAUGCCGCUAGCUAACUGGUAGCUCAGCUUUAGUUACUUUAAUAAACGUCCAUCGUCUUCAGAUUCAGAAGAAGAUUCAGAAAGUGGAUGUUCAGGAAUCAAACAGUAAAAAACAGAACAUUUGAUCCAUCAGGAGAUUAAACCCUGUAAAACCUUGAAAACCUUUAAAACCCGUCAGUCUGCUGCUACAGGAUCUUUAUUUCCUCUGUUCGUUCAGUUUGUGGAUUCAUCUGACUGACAGAUAAUACAUGACUCUAAAUAAUACUUCAGCUGUUAUGCUGGGUUUGGACAAAACAAUGCUGCUUCCUUCAACCAGUACAAGCUUUAAGGCUGCUGGAUGUUUAUCAGUUAUUAGUUCAUCUUCAGCCUUUUAUAUGAGCAAAAAAUACCUGAAUAAAUGAAAUGUUGUUUC